GAGCUCCGAGAAGAAGAGAAUCAGAAGAAAGAGAGGAAAAUGGAGAGAGAAGAAGACGAUUCAGUGAGCGAGGUUCUCAGAGAUCGAUUCAGACUCUUCACCAUCUCUAUCGCCGAUGCCGAAGGUCUCUUUGCUUUGGAGACAUGGAGCAAUAAGCAAUGCCAAGCAUUCCCCAAAUUGCAGGUAACCGAAAUUUCAAAGCUUUCGUCUUCGGAUUUGAUCUCAAUCAGUAGAGAAUUAGGCAUUUGAUUUUUCAAUUCUGGGAGCGAAAUGGUGGACCGGAAAGAGAAGAUAAGGUCUCUUUGAACCUGACGGAAGAGAUUCUCCAAAGCAUGGAAGUAGGGCUGGCUUUCAGGGACUACGUAAUGGCUCUGUCUCUCUCUGUUUCUGAUUGCUUUUAGCUCAAUUGAAUCAAAACCCUAAUCUUUUUAACUUGGUGAAUUUGAAAGUGAAAAAGUAAUUGUUUUUUUACAGAAUGGUAGAAUCAGUUCGUUGGAUUUUCUCAAGGCUUUGAAUUAUGUAGUGACUGCUAGUGAUGAUGAGUCUAUUUGCUUAUAUGAUGUCUCCACUGCAGCGUAAGAUGCUUGAAGACCAUUAACAGCAAAAAGUAUGGGGUUGAUUUGGUUUGCUUUACUUCCAUCCUACCACGGUUAUAUACUCGUCGAAAAAUGGCUAGGAUGCUCAAAGAGAGAAGAUAAGUGAAGCUAAUCAAGGCUCCAAACAAGGACAGCAGCUGCAGUGUCAGGAAAUGCCAUAGUUCUGAGUUUUAAAUCGAGGGGCCUUGGAUUACAAGUUGUGAAAUAUUUGGCUGCCAAAUAUGAAGAGCUAGGGUGUGAAGUGAAAUGGAUGGGCAAGCCUGAUAAGGUGAUCUAGUCACAUUGGUCUGGUUACCGCUGUUAACUUCAUUUCAUGUGAACCUUUAGUUUAAUACAUAUUUCUCUUGCACUUGACUACCAAGA